rnacentral:lncRNA from 1 species
UUUUUUUGUUUCUUAUAUAUCCAUCAGCCAAGCCCCAUAAACAUCUGAAGGAACUAUAUUAAACAUACCCAAAUAUGUAAACUAAAAAUCGUUAUCGUGGUUUAUAUAGUAGUUAACUUAAACUUAAACCGCAAAGGGGAACGGGAGUGGCAGUCACUCUCCGUCGUCGCGGCAAGGUUGAAGGUAUCCAGCCUACCUUUAUUGUGGGCUUGCAAACUCCUCUUCUCGUGUGCCUAUGAGCAGACAAAAUUUCAUUAAUAAUAAAAUAAAAUUGGACAGAGAGAAAGAGAGAGGUAGUAAUAAGGCAGUUUGGUGGGUUAUUUGGAGUGUAGUGUGCAGUGCAGCUCCCUCCUUUUCCAUCUUCUCUCCCUUUCCCCCCAAUUUUUUUGUUGCUUCUUUUGGCUCUCAUUAUUUUACAGUCAGUCACACCCACAGAGAUCCAUACAAGAGAAAAAGUGAAACUUAACAGAGCCCCAAAACAUAGAGAGAGAGAGAGAGAGAGAGAUUACCUUUUCCUUACCCCAUAUCAUCAUCAAAGCAAAAGGAGAUGUUUGAAGGAGUAGCACCACCUUCAGACCAAUUCCACAAGUUCACUCCCAAUCCUUCUUCUUCACCUUCACCACAUCUCCCUCUCCAUCUCUCUUUCGCUUCUUCUUCUUCUUCUUCUUCUUCUUCUUCAUCUUCUUCUACUCCUCCUAUCUUCCCCAUCAGCUUCGAUCCGUACCAUCACCACAACCACCACCACCACCACCUUCACCA